GCAUGGGUCUUUUGAAAGGAAAGGAAUGAAAAUAAAUGUAAGCAAGACGAAAGUAAUGGUAUUUGAAAAGGAAGAAAAUAUGACAAACUGUGAAAUUUCGAUUGGUCAAGAAAGAGUGGAACAAGUGGAAAGAGUUUGUGUAUCUGGGAACCUUGUUCACUAGGGACGGUAAGCAUGAUAAAGACAUUGAAAGGAGAGUGAAUGCUGGAAAUCGUGUGAAUGGGGCACUUAACGCUUUUAUGAGCAGCCAGAAGGUGUCGCAAAAAGCAAGGUUGGCUGUUAAUAGAGGGGUGUUGGUGCCUACACUUAUGUAUGGUAGCGAAAGUUGGGUAUGGCAGAAGAGGCAUCAGAGCCAAGUGAAUGCAGUGGAAAUGAGAGCGUUGAGAAGUGUGUGUGGUGUGAGAUUGCAAGAUAGAAUUAGGAACAGUGUGAUAAGGGAAAAGUGUGGACUGAAUGUAGAUGUAGUGACAAAAAUUGAGAAAGGCUAACAAAGAGAGUGUAUAAGGGAGAAGUGGAAGUGGGAGUUGGAAGGGGUAGACCUCGGCGGACUUUCUCUGAUCAUAUCGGGGAAAUCCUGAAGAAAGGCCAGGUCAAGAGCACCCUAAACCGACGAGCGUGUAUGAGGAAUGUUAUGAAAGUGAAGGAAGCGAAAGAGGUAUGUCAGGAUCGUAGCAAGUGGAAAUCCGUGGUCUCUGCCUACCCCUCCGGGAAAUAGGCGU